GCCCGGUGGCGCACGCCUGUAGUCCCAGCUACUCGGGAGGCUGAGACAGGAGGAUCGCUUGAGUCCAGGAGUUCUGGGCUGUUGUGCGCUAUGCCGAUCGGGUGUCCGCACUAAGUUCGGCAUCAAUAUGGUGACCUCCCGGGAGCGGGGGACCACCAGGUUGCCUAAGGAGGGGUGAACCGGCCCAGGUCGGAAACGGAGCAGGUCAAAACUCCCGUGCUGAUCAUUUUUCAUUUCUGAUUUUGUCAAUUUGGAUGUUCUCUUUUUGUUUUU
rnacentral:SRP_RNA from 1 species